GACGAACGCUGGCGGCGUGCCUAAUACAUGCAAGUCGAACGCAGUGGGGACGGGUGAGUAACCCGUGGGUAACCUCCCAUCAGAGGGGAUAACACUUGGAAACAGGUGCUAAACCGAUACUGCUGGAUGGACCCGCGGUGCAUUAGCUAGUUGGUAAGGUAACGGCUCACCAAGGCCACGAUGCAUAGCGGACCGGUGAGGGGGACCGGCAAACCUGGAACGGAGACACGGCCCAGACUCCUACGGGAGGAAGAAGUGGGGAUUCUUCGGCAAUGGAAGAAAGUCGGAGAUAGAAAGGCGGCUUGAGUGAAGAAGGUUUUCGGAUCGUAAAACCUGGUUGUUAGAGAGGCGGUAUCUAACCAGAAAGCCACGGCUAACUACGUGCCAGCAGCCGCGGUAAUAC
rnacentral:rRNA from 1 species